rnacentral:rRNA from 1 species
AUUGAACGCUGGCGGCAUGCCUUACACAUGCAAGUCGAACGGCAGCGCGGACUUCGGUCUGGCGGCGAGUGGCGAACGGGUGAGUAAUACAUCGGAACGUACCCUGUUGUGGGGGAUAACUAGUCGAAAGAUUAGCUAAUACCGCAUACGACCUGAGGAUGAAAGUGGGGGACCGCAAGGCCUCACGCAGCAGGAGCGGCCGAUGUCUGAUUAGCUAGUUGGCGGGGUAAAGGCCCACCAAGGCGACGAUCAGUAGCUGGUCUGAGAGGACGAUCAGCCACACUGGGUCUGAGACACGGCCCAGACUCCUACGGGAGGCAGCAGUGGGGAAUUUUGGACAAUGGGGGCAACCCUGAUCCAGCAAUGCCGCGUGUGUGAAGAAGGCCUUCGGGUUGUAAAGCACUUUUGUCCGGAAAGAAAUCGCGCUGGUUAAUACCUGGCGUGGAUGACGGUACCGGAAGAAUAAGCACCGGCUAACUACGUGCCAGCAGCCGCCGUAA